rnacentral:rRNA from 1 species
UACGUAAGGUGCAAGCGUUAAUCGGAAUUACUGGGCGUAAAGCGUGCGCAGGCGGUUAUGUAAGACAGAUGUGAAAUGCCCGGGCUUAACCUGGGAACUGCAUUUGUGACUGCAUGGCUAGAAUCUGGCAGAGGGGGGUAGAAUUCCACGUGUAGCAGUGAAAUGCGUAGAUAUGUGGAGGAACACCGAUGGCGAAGGCAGCCCCCCUGGGUCAAGAUUGACGCUCAUGCACGAAAAGCGUGGGGGAGCAAACAGG